rnacentral:rRNA from 1 species
UAGGGAAUCUUCGGCAAUGGGCGAAAGCCUGACCGAGCAACGCCGCGUGAAUGAUGAAGGCCUUCGGGUUGUAAAAUUCUGUUAUAAGGGCAGAACGACUUUAGUAGGAAAUGGCUAGAGUGUGACGGUACCUUAUGAGAAAGCCACGGCUAACUACGUGCCAGCAGCCGCGGUAAUCCGUAGGUGGCGAGCGUUAUCCGGAAUUAUUGGGCGUAAAGAGCGCGCAGGUGGUUGAUUAAGUCUGAUGUGAAAGCCCACGGCUUAACCGUGGAGGGUCAUUGGAAACUGGUCGACUUGAGUGCAGGAGAGGGAAGUGGAAUUCCAUGUGUAGCGGUGAAAUGCGUAGAGAUAUGGAGGAACACCAGUGGCGAAGGUUGCUUCCUGGUCUGUAACUGACACUGGGGCGCGAAAGCGUGGGGAGCAAACA